CCUUGACAUACUAAGAACUUUCCAGAGAUGGAUUGGUGCCUUCGGGAACUUAGAUACAGGUGCUGCAUGGCUGUCGUCAGCUCGUGUCGUGAGAUGUUGGGUUAAGUCCCGNAACGAGCGCAACCCUUUUCCUAUUUGCCAGCGGGUCAUGCCGGGAACUUUAAGGAUACUGCCAGUGACAAACUGGAGGAAGGCGGGGACGACGUCAAGUCAUCAUGGCCCUUACGGCCAGGGCUACACACGUGCUACAAUGGUCGGUACAAAGGGUUGCUACCUCGCGAGAGGAUGCUAAUCUCAAAAAGCCGAUCGUAGUCCGGAUCGCAGUCUGCAACUCGACUGCGUGAAGUCGGAAUCGCUAGUAAUCGCGGAUCAGAAUGCCGCGGUGAAUACGUUCCCGGGCCUUGUACACACCGCCCGUCACACCAUGGGAGUUUGUUGCACCAGAAGUAGGUAGUCUAACCGCAAGGAGGACGCUUACCACGGUGUGGCCGAUGACUGGGUGAAGUCGUAACAAGGUAAGCGUAGAUGA
rnacentral:rRNA from 1 species